AAGGGAACUUAGGCAUGUACAAUCAGAGACUGAGUAUAGGCAGCUGAAUGCUUUGGUUGCUGCCUUAGAGGUUGAGCUAAAAGCGGAGAUGGAAGAUAUGAAAAAGGAUAAGAACGUGGAAGUCGUAAGUCCUCCAAUUCACACCGCUGAACACAGAACGCAACCCUCCAACUCAAAUUGGCGUCAGCACUGGAUGUCAGACGACCAUUGGCUCGAGAGGGAGAGGGAGAGGGAGACACAUGCUUCUGACGAUGACACUAGCUAGAUGUAACCUGAAAAUCGAGUUCACGUAUUAUUAAUUUGACUACUAUAUACUUUAGCAUGCAAUUGAGAUGGUUGGAUGUUUUCUCCUUUGUAUUUCAAAGACUCAAAUAUGUUUAUUGUGAAUUUUAUUUAUUUGGAAUGUGAUUCAUGUUGGAUAUUAUUCAUUUGGAAUAUUUCUGUAUUUGAUAUGAUUGUUCUAUAUUGAGUAGAUGUUUUGUUGUGUUGUGAAAGAGCAUUAUUGA